UCCCUCUUAGCUCAGUUGGUAGAGCGCGUCACUAGUAUAUCGAAAUGCUUUAAUGCGAUAUGACGAGGUCAGUCGUUCAAAUCGGCUAGUGGGAA
rnacentral:tRNA from 1 species